rnacentral:rRNA from 1 species
GACGAACGCUGGCGGCGUGCUUAACACAUGCAAGUCGAACGGUAAGGCCCUUCGGGGUACACGAGUGGCAAACGGGUGAGUAACACGUGGGUGAUCUGCCCUGCACUUCGGGAUAAGCCUGGGAAACUGGGUCUAAUACCGGAUAGGACCACUGCCUGCAUGGGUGGUGGUGGAAAGCUUUUGCGGUGUGGGAUGGGCCCGCGGCCUAUCAGCUUGUUGGUGGGGUGAUGGCCUACCAAGGCGACGACGGGUAGCCGGCCUGAGAGGGUGACCGGGCACACUGGGACUGAGAUACGGCCCAGACUCCUACGGGAGGCAGCAGUGGGGAAUAUUGCACAAUGGGCGCAAGCCUGAUGCAGCGACGCCGCGUGAGGGAUGACGGCCUUCGGGUUGUAAACCUCUUUCAGCACCGACGAAGCGCAAGUGACGGUAGGUGCAGAAGAAGGACCGGCCAACUACGUGCCAGCCGCCGCGGUAA